AGAACAGUAACAACCUGGAGCUUUAAGCAGUCCCACACGGUUAUGGAAACAAAAAUUCCAAUUAAGAGCUAUCAAAGCAGGCAAAUCCUGGAGAACAAAGGAGCCACAGAGAACAGCCUGAACUAAGACAAAUGUCAUCUACACGCCAAGAAAAGAUGCCUCAGAAGAAACCUGCUGGCACCUUAACAUCAGACUUCCAGCUUCUAGAACUGUAAAAA
rnacentral:lncRNA from 1 species